AGAUCACCCCUCCUUAGCAGCAUUCAAAAUGUCCAAAUAUUUACUUCCAGGCGACUGUAAAAAUGAUUUCCGAACAGCUGAAUUGAUUGACCACCGCUCAACUACUCGCUCAUUACAACUUUCCUUUUCAGUCUCCCACCUACUGUGCCACUUCCUCCGUAUUGCCUAUACUGAGAUAUAUCCAAAUCGGGCAAUUCCCACUGUCCCUUAUCUUUUUAUACUGUGAACUCGCUUUUCCAGUACAUCAAACAAGUUUUAUCAGAAUUGUGUCUCACUUUAUAUUUUGUACAGCAUUGCAC